rnacentral:rRNA from 1 species
CGAGGAACCUUACCUAGGCUUAAAUGCAGAACGCUAGGCUAUGAAAGUAGUUUGUUCUUCGGACGUUUUGCAAGGUGCUGCAUGGUUGUCGUCAGCUCGUGCCGUGAGGUGUUGGGUUAAGUCCCGCAACGAGCGCAACCCCUAUUCUUAGUUAGCCAGCGAGUCAUGUCGGGGACUCUAGAGAGACUGCCAGCGUAAGCCGCGAGGAAGGUGGGGACGACGUCAAAUCAUCAUGGCCUUUAUGCCUAGGGCUACACACGUGCUACAAUGGUACAUACAGAGGGUCGCGAAACCGCAAGGUGGAGCCAAUCUCAUAAAGUGUAUCCCAGUUCGGAUUGAAGUCUGGAACUCGACUUCAUGAAGGUGGAAUCGCUAGUAAUCGCGCAUCAGCCAUGGCGCGGUGAAUACGUUCCCGGACCUUGUACACACCGCCCGUG